rnacentral:rRNA from 1 species
GACGAACGCUGGCGGCGCGCCUAACACAUGCAAGUCGAACGAGCGAGAGGGAGCUUGCUUUCUCAAGCGAGUGGCGAACGGGUGAGUAACGCGUGAGGAACCUGCCUCAAAGAGGGGGACAACAGUUGGAAACGACUGCUAAUACCGCAUAAGCCCACGACCCGGCAUCGGGUAGAGGGAAAAGGAGCAAUCCGCUUUGAGAUGGCCUCGCGUCCGAUUAGCUAGUUGGUGAGGUAACGGCCCACCAAGGCGACGAUCGGUAGCCGGACUGAGAGGUUGAACGGCCACAUUGGGACUGAGACACGGCCCAGACUCCUACGGGAGGCAGCAGUGGGGAAUAUUGCACAAUGGGGGAAACCCUGAUGCAGCGACGCCGCGUGGAGGAAGAAGGUCUUCGGAUUGUAAACUCCUGUUGUUGAGGAAGAUAAUGACGGUACUCAACAAGGAAGUGACGGCUAACUACGUG